rnacentral:rRNA from 1 species
AACGAACGCUGGCGGCAGGCCUAACACAUGCAAGUCGAACGCACCGCAAGGUGAGUGGCGCACGGGUGAGUAACACGUGGGAAUGUACCCUUUGGUUCGGAAUAACGUCUGGAAACGGACGCUAAUACCGGAUGAGCCCUGCGGGGGAAAGAUUUAUCGCCAAAGGAGCAGCCCGCGUCUGAUUAGCUAGUUGGUGGGGUAAAGGCCUACCAAGGCGACGAUCAGUAGCUGGUCUGAGAGGAUGAUCAGCCACACUGGGACCGAGACACGGCCCAGACUCCUACGGGAGGCAGCAGUGGGGAAUAUUGGACAAUGGGCGAAAGCCUGAUCCAGCCAUGCCGCGUGAGUGAUGAAGGCCUUCGGGUUGUAAAGCUCUUUCGCACGCGACGAUGAUGACGGUAGCGUGAGAAGAAGCCCCGGCUAACUUCGUGCCAGCCGCCGCAGUAAAAC